rnacentral:rRNA from 1 species
UCUGGGCCGCACGCGCGCUACACUGAUGAAGUCAACGAGUUUCAUCCUUGAUCGGAAGGGCCGGGUAAUCUUUUGAAACUUCAUCGUGGUGGGGAAAGUCCCUUGCAAUUUUUGGACUUUAACGAGGAAUUCCUAGUAAGCGUGAGUCAUCAACUCGCGUUGAUUACCUCCCUGCCCUUUGUACACACCGCCCGUCCCUACUA